rnacentral:misc_RNA from 1 species
AUGAUUGCGAAUGGUCGCCUUCAGUGCUGGCUCUUGCAAGUGCACGUUGGUGGCUUUCAUCCAAUACCCUCUGUGAACCUUUGGCCUCUUGCUCGCUUCGGCUGGCAGAGGAUUUUUACACACACUCGAAUGUAAUGAAAACUAUUGUCGUGCGCAAGCACUAAUGUA